CCUACGGGAGGCAGCAGUGGGGAAUAUUGGACAAUGGGGGGAACCCUGAUCCAGCCAUGCCGCGUGUGUGAAGAAGGCCCUCGGGUUGUAAAGCACUUUCAGUGAGGAAGAACGCCUGGUGGUUAAUACCCAUCAGGAAAGACAUCACUCACAGAAGAAGCACCGGCUAACUCCGUGCCAGCAGCCGCGGUAAUAUGGAGGGUGCGAGCGUUAAUCGGAAUUACUGGGCGUAAAGCGCGCGUAGGUGGCUUGAUAAGCCGGUUGUGAAAGCCCCGGGCUCAACCUGGGAACGGCAUCCGGAACUGUCAAGCUAGAGUGCAGGAGAGGAAGGUAGAAUUCCCGGUGUAGCGGUGAAAUGCGUAGAGAUCGGGAGGAAUACCAGUGGCGAAGGCGGCCUUCUGGACUGACACUGACACUGAGGUGCGAAAGCGUGGGUAGCAAACAGGAUUAGAUACCCUGGUAGUC
rnacentral:rRNA from 1 species